AUGGACAGAGACCAGUCCUGAGCCUCACAACAGAUAACUUUGCUGCCACGGAGACAUUAAUCAUCCUCCCUACUUCGGGUUCAAAAGUCCUGGAGAAGAGCUCUGAUGAGCUUGUUCUGAGUCAAGUGGCCAUCCCGAGGAGUCAUCUGCAGCCAGGGGAACACCCUGAUCUGCCUGAGUCAGUUACGUUGAAGAUGAUGACCGAGAAGAAAAGAGAAAAGGAGGACAACCCAUAGUAUAUUUUUCCUUCAGCCCUUCCUUCCUUAUCAGGGAGCCUAAGCAGGAAAAAAAUGGACAGAGACCAGUCCUGAGCCUCACAACAGAUAGCUUUGCUGCCAUGGAGACAUUAAUCAUCCUCCCUACUUCGGGUUCAAAAGUCCUGGAGAAGAGCUCUGAUGAGCUUGUUCUGAGUCAAGUGGCCAUCCCGAGGAGUCAU